UACGUAGGGUGCGAGCGUUGUCCGGAAUUACUGGGCGUAAAGGGCUCGUAGGUGGCCAACUAAGUCAGACGUGAAAUCCCUCAGCUUAACUGGGGAACUGCGUCUGAUACUGGAUGGCUUGAGAUUGGGAGAGGGAUGCGGAAUUCCAGGUGUAGCGGUGAAAUGCGUAGAUAUCGUAAGGAAGACCAGUGGCGAAGGCGGGUCUCUGGACAGUUCCUGACGCUGAGGCACGAAGGUCAGGGGAGCAAACGGG
rnacentral:rRNA from 1 species